GUAUCUUUCCACCGCUCGAAAUUGGUCUGCACAUGAAACAAGUGUUUAAGAACGACGACGACACUGCUCAUAAUGACAUCUAUUUUCCUUCAUCUCACCGCUAAGAGGGGCGCGAGGAUGCUCCUCCGCGCGAGCCCGGAGCUCUGGCGUUACCUAGCAACGGCUCCCAUACUGUACUCCCGCUCCAAGUGCCUUCAACUCUCUCUGCCGCUGAUUCUAUUUCUGUUGUUGCGUUGCAGUCGCAGUCUGCUAAAACAUUCAUAGCACAGUCCUCUUAGCAUGUGGCUUCUGCGGUAAUGUUUCAGAAUGAAGCACCACCCUACCCAACGCAGAGUGAUACUGACAAAUAGCGCGUCAAAUGAUGGGUGACAGACCAGUUAAUCAUGGGCUGCAGUCUCCGGGGACGCGCUGAUUGAGUCUGAUGUAAUGGAUGUUAUUAUGGCCAGUGACAUGACAACUGCGACCUCGUGCACGGACGUGUUUCCCACUUAAUUGUUCAAGCAGGUGCAGAGAAAAUGUGAUAACGCGGUUUCUCUCACGCUUUUUGAUAUGCCAGGGCUGCUGUUAGGGCACGACAAGGUUUAACGCCCCCAUGAUUCCACAUGAACAGCUUGUGAAGCGCAAUCGUGUAAUAAUCAAGUGUUGGAUGGAUGAAUUGCCACAAACUGUCUCACGUGCACCACCCGGAUACAACAAGCUGGUAAAUGGCACACUUCCGCCGAAACACACCUCAGAACAGACAGCACGUUGUUGCCCCUGCAGGGAACAUCCACACGAACAGACCAUCCUGUUCCUAUACAGUUUGAUGCUGCCCUCAUGUCCAUCCUGCCCUUAAGCCAAUUAUUUAUCUGUGGCAAAUGCCAUCCUGUGCCAACCUCACAGAGUUAUACAAGGAAAUUAGCUUGGCACCCUUUUUGUCCUGCACAAAUUAAACAGUAAAACUGCUAUUGAACAGGGAAGGAUAAAAAUUCUAUUUUGAUCUUAUAUGCACCCAAAGCAAACAAAUAAACAAAUACAGUUGACCCAGACGUCUGGGAGAUUCGAUCCAUUUUUUAAAAUAGCAAAGAUUUGAUCGGGAGGUUGUUAACAAAGGAUUAGCCUUUAUUGUUUAUCUAUAAUUAAUGGGCAAGAGCCUUUCUCCAUCUACUCCAUCAUCAAAGCAGUUCACUUUAAAUGAGAGUGAUUUAAUUUUCACCAUCGGAGAGCAGAAACAAUUUAGGAACUCAUUAAUGGUUAUUUCAAAGAACAUUAACUACCUAAUCUUAUAUAGGAUGGGAUUAGAUCUCUAAGUAUGGAACUGAUGAAAUGAAAUAAGGAGCGUUUGACGUCGGGCUGCAGGGGGAAAUAAAUUAAAAGGGAUGGCAGGUUGUGAGAGCUCUCAGAAGAGAUGAGCAGGUCACAGCAAUAAUGCUCUUUAAGCAGUGCAGGUUGACCUUCACAAACUCCUUCUUUUCAUCUGGAUCUGACAUUUAGUGACAAGAUAAUAUUCUCUGCUAUAUUUCAGCAGCUCUCUUUCAAACGCACACAGACACACGCGUUUUUAUAAUUAGCUUCCUGCUGAUAGAAGUUCAGGAUAUUGGUCCCCUGUGGAGAGGUAAUGUGUUAAUGUUUCUUAGGGAAGUCACAUCGAGGGAUUCAUUUAACGGUGAACUGCGUGGAGUCCCUGCAGCUUGUAUAUCUAACGUAACUCACACGCAGAUUUCGCAUUGUCUCUUUCACGCUUCACGCCCCCAUUUCGUUUUGUUCUGAAAGCCGAAGCAAAUAAAUGUCUGUAUCAGAUGUAAGCUGACUUGUGCAGUUAUAACUCGAGAAACACUUUACGGUACUGUGCAAAGAAUAGCCGCUGGGGUGUACGGAAAGGACAAACCUGCCCAGUUGUUAAAGAAAGAGCUUUAUUAUUCUACUCAAGCAUUAUGAAUAAUUAAUAAUGAUAAAUAAAUUAAAGCUUGUGAAUUGAACACGCAACCUUUUACCAGGCAGAUGUCUUUUGUUGUUUUUUGUUGUGUGGCACAGUAAAUGUGAAUAGAGAGGGUUUUUUAAUUCAGUAUUUAUUAGAGCAGCUAUUUAAAGGCACAAUAUGUAAUUUUUUGCCACUAGAGGUCGCCUAUUCAAAACAAACGCUGAGAUUGAGCGCAGAAUCAUGGGAGAUGUCGUCUUCACCUCACAGCCGGUGGAAGAGAAUCAGGACGAGACUCGGGCAGAAAUCAUGUUCAUGGAUGAGAUUAUUAAUGUUACUGUAGUAUGAAGCAGAGCAGGAGAGAUUGCUAAUGAGAAAUGAGCACGACACACACCACAAGAGCAGCGAAGCUUUUAUUAUGCCACAGUCGCCGCUUCCGCUUCUUCCGGUCUAGCGUUUGUGAGGUAACGCAGCGCUGUUUAUCAUAUUAGAUACAUUUGAGUG